rnacentral:piRNA from 1 species
UGAAGAGUAUAUAGGGUAUCACCGCCGAU